GCAAACUUGGUCAUUUAGAGGAAGUAAAAGUCGUAACAAGGUUUCCGUAGGUGAACCUGCGGAAGGAUCAUUAAUGUAUUCAAAUUUUGUUGGAUUGUUGCUGGCCUAUCAAUUGGCAAGUGCACAUUCAACUCAAUUUCAUUAUCAUCACCUGUGCACCUUUUGUAGACUUUGAAAGACUGAACUAGUCGAGGAAACUCGGAUUAAAGGAAUUGCGAAAAAGCUCUUCUUUCUUUUUCAUGAUUUCAAGUCUAUGUUUUCAAUAUACACAUAUAAUUAAAAAAAGUAUGAUGUUCAAUACAAAAUUUAAUAACAACUUUCAACAACGGAUCUCUUGGCUCUCGCAUCGAUGAAGAACGCAGC
rnacentral:misc_RNA from 1 species